rnacentral:rRNA from 1 species
UACAUGUGGGGCAAGCGUUGUUCGGAAUUACUGGGCAUAAAGGGUGCGUAGGUGGUGGGGUAAGUCGGAUGUGAAAUCCCGGGGCUCAACCCCGGAACUGCAUUCGAUACUGCCUUGCUCGAGUACUGGAGAGGAGACUGGAAUUCACGGUGUAGCAGUGAAAUGCGUAGAUAUCGUAAGGAAGACCAGUGGCGAAGGCGAGUCUCUGGACAGUUACUGACACUGAGGCACGAAGGCCAGGGGAGCAAACGGG